rnacentral:rRNA from 1 species
CAGCCGCCGCGGGAAUACGAAGGUCCCGAGCGUCGUUCGGAAUCACUGGGCGUAAAGGGAGCGUAGGCGGCGUGGUAAGUCAGAUGUGAAAUCCCGGGGCUCAACCCCGGAACUGCAUCCGAUACUGCCAUGCUAGAGGAUUGGAGAGGUAGCUGGAAUUCUUGGUGUAGCAGUGAAAUGCGUGGAGAUCAAGAGGAACACUCGUGGCGAAAGCGAGCUACUGGACAAUAACUGACGCUGAGGCUCGAAGGCCAGGGUAGCGAAAGGGAUUAGAUACCCCCGUAGUCCCUGUCUCUUAUAC